rnacentral:rRNA from 1 species
GACGAACGCUGGCGGCGCGCUUAACACAUGCAAGUCGUGCGGUGUCGAAGGCAAGUCUUACGACAAGCCUUCGACACAGCGGCGAACGGGUGAGUAACACGUGAGUAGCUGUCCUAAGGAGGGGGAUAACGCCUGGAAACGGGUGCUAACACCCCAUAUGCCUCGCAAGAGGUGAAAGUGUACUUGCUACAGCCUUAGGGUGUGCUCGCGGCCUAUCAGCUAGUUGGUGAGGUAACGGCUCACCAAGGCUAAGACGGGUAGCCGGCCUGAGAGGGUGUACGGCCACACUGGAAUUGAGAUACGGUCCAGACUCCUACGGGAGGCAGCAGUGGGGAAUCUUGGGCAAUGGGCGAAAGCCUGACCCAGCGACGCCGCGUUGGGGAUGAAGCCCUUCGGGGCGUAAACCCAUGUUGUAGGGGACGAAGAAAGUGACGGUACCCUACGAGAAAGCCCCGGCCAACUACGUGCCAGCAGCCGCGGUAAAACGUAGGGGGCGAGCGUUGUCCGGAAUUACUGGGCGUAAAGGGCACGCAGGCGGUACGCCAAGUCGGGGGUGUAAAGUUACGGCUUAACCGUGACCUUGCAAUCGAUACUGGCGUACUGGAGUGCGGGAGAGGGAAGUGGAAUUCCCGGUGUAGCGGUGAAAUGCGUAGAUAUCGGGAGGAACGCCAGUGGCGAAGGCGGCUUCCUGGCCCGCGACUGACGCUCAUGUGCGAAAGCCAGGGGAGCGAACCGGAUUAGAUACCCGGGUAGUCCUGGCCGUAAACGAUGGGUGCUAGGUGUAGGCGCGUCAAGCGUCUGUGCCGCAGUUAACGCGAUAAGCACCUCGCCUGGGGAGUACGGUCGCAAGGCUG